CUUGGCCCCAUUUGACUUGGGCUGGAGCUAACCCAGAAACACUGCAGCUCUCAAUGAACCAGGUCAAUGUCAGAACGGCAAUUAACCAAACAUGAACAGACUCUGAUUAACCCGAUAAGAAGCACAAGUUGGCAGCAAUAGUAUACUAGGCACAAUGGAGAGGAAGAAUCGCUGAAAU